rnacentral:lncRNA from 1 species
UACCAGAGUUUUGAGAGGGCAAGAAAGAAAACUGAGGUGCAAAAUUGCAUCAUUAUAUUUCUUCCAAAAUUAUUAAUUUUCUCUUUCACCAUCGUCCAUCUAUGCUAUGCUAUGACAGACACCUCAUCCCUUUAUAAAACGUAUAGAUAUAAAGCAAGCCAAGAAAGACACCUCUCCUCUCUCUUUCUCUCUCACAUAUUCACUCUUUUCUUCAACAAAACAAUAAAAGAAAAAAAGAAAAUCAAAAUUCCCUUCAUUUUCUCUNN